AAAAUACCGAGAGAGUGAACCACUUCUUUAUUUCCAUCAGCUAAUUACACAAUCAGGACUCAAAUCUUCAGCUAUAAAGCACAAAGCUGAAAAUCCACACCAGGGUUGUCAAAGUCCUGGAGUUCAGUGAAAUGAAUCACUUGUACUAAAACACAGCAAAAAGCAGCAGACACUGGAGCCCUCCAGGACUGGAGUUAAACCAGCAGAUGCUGUGGCCCUCCAGAGCUGGAGUUAAACCUGCAGACACCGUGGCCCUCCAGGGCUGGAGUUAAACCUGCAGACAAUGCGGCCCUCCAGGUCUAGAUAUCAGGUAAACUUUAAUCUCUGUGGUACAUCUGCUCUAUACGGUCAUGGACCAACUAAUCAGAUCAAACCACAAAAAUCUCUACUCUCUCAGCUUUAUUACAUCUCUAUCUGUCUCCAUGGUAUGCCUCUGCAGCACUGCAUUUUCAUUCACUUUGGCUCUGCAUUACAGGUACUGUAACGCUGUUUAGUUCUUACUGCCACUGCAUUUUAAAGGGCAGAUUGCAUGUAGUUCUUGCAGUUUGUUCCCUGGAAA